rnacentral:misc_RNA from 1 species
GAUGAAGAACGUAGCGAAAUGCGAUAAGUAAUGCGAAUUGCAGAAUCCGUGAGUCAUCGAAUCUUUGAACGCACAUUGCGCCCCUUGGUUAUUCCGAAGGGCAUGCCUGUUCGAGCGUCAUUAUCACCCCUCAAGCCCUGGCUUGGUGUUGGACUUUAGUUAUGGCUUUGCCUAUCAACUGGUCUCAAAGAUAGUGACGGCGCCCCAGGGGGAACCGGGUACGAGGAGCUUUUUACUAAGCAUGUAUCUGGGACGACUCUGAUGGGCGACGGUCUUGUUAUACUUUUUACCUAAGUGUUGACCUCGGAUCAGGUAGGAAUACCCGCUGAACUUAAGCAUAUCAAUAAGCGGAGGA